ensembl:lncRNA
GGCAUGCACUGCAUCGAGGCAAUCGAAGAUUGGUCUGUGUAGUAGAUAAAUAGGCCCUGAUGUCUUCCUGUAUAAGUUUGGCUUUGGUACUUGGGUGGUUUACGCCAGAGGUCUAUGCGGCUCGAAUUAUUUUAUUUUAUUUUUUUAUUUAAAUUUUUUUUUUCUGGUUUCAUGACAUGUCAUUAUCAUGCACGGCCCUGUAAUGACGUGGAGCAGGAGUUUUAAGAUAAUGAUAGCGUUACUGAUAAAUUGGGAAUUUGUAAUAUUGACAUUAGCCCAUCUUAACAAAGACGAUGCAGAAGUGUUUACAAACGGAUCAAAUGAGUCGCUCGAAGCACAGCAGUCUUCCGCGGACGCUCACGAAGAUGACUGUGAACGAUAUCUCAACACUUCAGCGUUUUCAAGUGAUCCAGCGGACGACUCGACGAUCCAGUCCACUUCCAGAUGCCAUGCAUGUGAGGACCACAGUCUGGUCACCGGAGCGAAUACCUCGCGAAAGGACGAGUUUGAGGAGGUUCUCCGAGGACCUGUGACUUGGCGAUUCUUGAGUGAUCAACAGAAUCUGAAUGGAGUCGUGGUGUCUGAUGACUCUCAGCCGGCGUUUACAUGUGGCAAGGAACGCCUUUGGAUCAAGUUUUCCAUGACGCGGCACUCGAACCCGCGUUUGAUUAUCAAGACUGAACGGGCAGAUUCACACACACAAAAGCAGUGCCGAUGCAUCAGAAGGAAUCAUGGGCCAUCAAUGCUGCUGAGGAUCUACUUCAAAGAGUGCUAUGCUUCAAAUUGGGUGAAUUAA